GACGAACCGUGCGACCGUUGUUCGGAAUCACUGGGCUUAAAGGGCGCGUAGGCGGCUUGUCAAGUCAGGGGUGAAAUCUUUCGGCUUAACCGGAAAAGUGCCUUUGAUACUGGCAAGCUCGAGGGAGGUAGGGGCAUGCGGAACUUCCGGUGGAGCGGUGAAAUGCGUUGAUAUCGGAAGGAACGCCGGUGGCGAAAGCGGCGUGCUGGAUCUCUUCUGACGCUGAGGCGCGAAAGCUAGGGGAGCGAACGGG
rnacentral:rRNA from 1 species